UACGGAGGAUGCGAGCGUUAUCCGGAUUUAUUGGGUUUAAAGGGUGCGUAGGCGGAAUGCCAAGUCAGCGGUAAAAUCGCGGGGCUCAACCUCGCUCCGCCGUUGAAACUGGCGUUCUUGAGUGGGCGAGAAGUAUGCGGAAUGCGUGGUGUAGCGGUGAAAUGCAUAGAUAUCACGCAGAACUCCGAUGCGAAGGCAGCAUACCGGCGCCCAACUGACGCUGAAGCACGAAAGCGUGGGUAGUCGAACAG
rnacentral:rRNA from 1 species